rnacentral:rRNA from 1 species
AAUCAACGCUGGCGGCGCGCUUAACACAUGCAAGUCGAGCGAGAAAGUGGAGCAAUCCAUGAGUAAAGCGGCGUACGGGUGAGUAACACGUGGACGAUCUACCUUUUUGUGGGGAUAACUUUGGGAAACCGAAGCUAAUACCGCAUAAGCCUGUAAAGGGAAAGCAGCAAUGCGCAGAAAGAGGGCCGCGGCCGAUUAGCUAGUUGGUGAGGUAACGGCCCACCAAGGCGAUGAUCGGUAGCCGGCCUGAGAGGGCACACGGCCACACUGGCACUGAAACACGGGCCAGACUCCUACGGGAGGCAGCAGUGGGGAAUCUUGCACAAUGGGGGCAACCCUGAUGCAGCGACGCCGCGUGAACGAUGAAGCCCUUCGGGGUGUAAAGUUCUUUCGGCAGGGAC